rnacentral:rRNA from 1 species
CGUCAAGUCAUCAUGCCCCUUAUGCCCAGGGCUGCACGCAUGCUACAAUGGCCGGUACAAUGGGCUGCGAACCCGCGAGGGGGAGCUAAUCCCAUAAAGCCGCUCUCAGUUCGGAUUGCAGGCUGCAACUCGCCUGCAUGAAGCCGGAAUUGCUAGUAAUCGCGGAUCAGCAUGCCGCGGUGAAUCCGUUCCCGGGCCUU